rnacentral:lncRNA from 1 species
UAAGGGAUAUGGAACUGCUCAAUCUGUCUUACAAUCAACUGUAUGGUGAAGUGCCGGAAACAUUGUGCAAGCUCAGCCAUUUGGAGAAACUCACUUUGAAAUACAAUUAUUUCACGCAGGUUGGACCAGAAUGUCGAAAGCUGAUAGAAGAAAAUGUUCUUGAUGUUAGCAUGAAUUGCAUUAUUGAUCUUGACAACCAGAGAAACCCGGACGAAUGUGAAGCUUUCUUCUUGAAGAAAUUUCAAUGCCCAGACAUGAAAUCACUAACCUAUGUACCUUGUAAUGUUCAUGAGUUUUCUCCUAGGAAGAUCAAUUCUGUAGGUCGACAUCAACCCGAUGCGAAGGCUCGUUCGACUACUUAUGCUGCCAUCAAUAAACCUCACCUCUGAUUUAUCUACCAUUUGUAAUUCUGUACUAUUAAGUUUUAGACUUGUAAUAGUAAUGUAUGUAGAUUGGGACAGUAAGUAGCUCAAUUUACAACUCUGUUGACUUAUAUUUUCUUGUUUUAUGUAUUGAAUUUGUAACUAUUGAGCAUAAGCUUUGGCCUUUUGAACCAAACUGCUGAGUCAACUAGAUUAAAAAGCAUUUUCUUUGGCUUCUAGUAUUCUUGUUCUAGAGUAAUUUGAUCCCACAUUGAGAAAAUAACAUGAUAUGUAUAGCUACUAUAGGAUGUUUUUCAGAAGUACCUUCCCUGAAUAGCCACGAUUAUUCAUUACUACUAUUUUGAAACUAGCCAGAUUUCCUAGUAAAAAUGGCAAAUUUCGCAUUGGACAUGACAUUUAGGACCUUCUUCUCCUUAUCUAUGGAGUAUUAUUUUUUUUGCUAAUUAUACAAGAUUUCUUUAAUGUUACAGAAACAAGCGUAACGAUAGGGAAAAUGAAUUUGGAAGUAAUCAAUCUUGCAAAUCAAAAAUAUGCAUUCCUGGAUUUAGAUCAAAAGGGAAUUUUUGAAAUCAUAUUCGAGCAUUAGAUUUGUUUCUACUUCGAUAGAAGGCAUCAUAAAUGAGUAAUAAUGACAAUAGAGGGCUCAGAGUAUAGAUUAAUACUUAUCCCACCUAUACAUAUUCUCAUAAUUUGAAGGCAAUAAUGUUAAUGCAUUAAGAAAUUUAAUGCUUCAAUUUAGCAGUCAUACUGUGUGUUCAACUUCCAUCUACUUCUCUGUGUAUGAAUUUUCAAAGCUUGCUGAUACGGGUACGGAAGUGAGAGGUGUGGGCUUGGCCUUUGUCAAAGUAUUGAAAACAUGAGAAAUCAGCUGAAGAAGCAAACCCUAGAGAGAAACUUCGAGGGAGAAAGUCUUAUUAAGGAAAAAAUAUCUC